rnacentral:rRNA from 1 species
CCUACGGGUGGCAGCAGUGGGGAAUAUUGGACAAUGGGCGGGACCCUGAUCCAGCGACGCCGCGUGAGUGAAGAAGUAUUUCGGUAUGUAAAGCCUUAUCUGCAGGGGAGAAAAUGACGGUACUUGACUCCGAAGCCCCGGCUCAAUACGUGCCACCUGCCCUGGUAAUACGUAGGGGGCAAGCGUUAUCCGGAUUUACUGGGGGUAAAGGGAGCGUAGAGGGUGCAGCAAGUCUGAUGUGAAAGGUCGGGGCCCAAACCCGGGACAGCAGUGGAAACUGUUGGACUGGAGUACAGGAGAGGUAAGCGGAAUUCGUAGUGUAGCGGUGAAAUGCGUAGAUAUUAGGAAGAACACCAGUGGCGAAGGCGGCGUACUGGACUGUAACUGACGUUGAGGCUCGAAAGCGUGGGGAUCGAACAGGAUUAGAUACCCCUGUAGUC